rnacentral:rRNA from 1 species
UACGAAGGGGACUAGCGUUGUUCGGAAUUACUGGGCGUAAAGCGCACGUAGGCGGAUUUGUAAGUCAGGGGUGAAAUCCCGGGGCUCAACCUCGGAACUGCCUUUGAUACUGCAAAUCUCGAGUCCGAUAGAGGUGGGUGGAAUUCCUAGUGUAGAGGUGAAAAUUCGUAGAUAUUAGGAAGAACACCGGUGGCGAAGGCGGCCCACUGGAUCGGUACUGACGCUGAGGUGCGAAAGCGUGGGGAGCAAACAGG